rnacentral:rRNA from 1 species
CUACGGGUCGCUCCAGUAGGGAAUCUUAGACAAUGGGAGAAACCCUGAUCUAGCCAUGCCGCGUGAGUGAUGAAGGCCUUAGGGUUGUAAAGCUCUUUCGCUGGGGAAGAUAAUGACGGUACCCAGUAAAGAAACCCCGGCUAACUCCGUGCCAGCAGCCGCGGUAAUACGGAGGGGGUUAGCAUUGUUCGGAAUUACUGGGCGUAAAGCGCGCGUAGGCGGGCUAUUAAGUCAGGGGUGAAAUCCCGGGGCUCAACCCCGGAACUGCCUUUGAUACUGGUAGUCUUGAGUUCGAGAGAGGUGAGUGGAAUUCCGAGUGUAGAGGUGAAAUUCGUAGAUAUUCGGAGGAACAUCAGUGGCGAAGGCGACUCACUGGCUCGAUACUGACGCUGAGGUGCGAAAGUGUGGGGAGCAAACAGGAUUAGAUACCCUAGUAGUC